rnacentral:lncRNA from 10 species
AGACCCUUUAUCCCUCAUGAUUUACUUAUUCUUUCCUAUUUCUUGUUUACCUGCUUGUAGUUACAUUCCUUCCCACUAUAUAAAUCCCAAUUUUUGUUGGUCAGGAAGAUGGAUUUGAGACUGAUCUCCUAUCUCAUAAGCUGCAGCAACUGAUUAAUGCCUUCUUCCCUGGCAAUACUCGUUGUCUCAGUGAUUGUCUUUCUGUAUGGUGAGCAGCACACCUAGACCAAAUACCUGGUGUUUUGGUAACAGAUUUUGGUUCCUUGACUGGGAACAUGUUGCUUGUAGCUUGGCUGCCAUGGGACAGGAGAUUGAGAAGCCCUCUUGAGCAGCUACCUGACCCUUUUUUGGCUGGAGGUGGAUUUUGAUCUCUUUCUUAUCCUGCCACUCCCAUCCCCAACCAAGUUCCUGAUUGCCUAGCAAGAACAGCCUUUGGAAUUUGUCAUCUGCAUCUGGUCUGGUGAAUGUCACUUGUGGGUACCAGACAGUAGGAUCUGCUUCUCUCCAUUUGGGAAAUUCUCCAUUUGGGAAAUUCUCCAUUUGCAGGUUGAACAAGCCCAACCAAUUGAGAGAGGAAAGCAGCCCAACUGUUUCAGUUUGGAACCUCUUGGUGCUUGAUGGUUACUGCAGCAGUUGGAUUGUGUUUUGGUGAUUGUUUAUAUGUCAAUAUAGUCAAGAUAACUCAGAAUUUGAUAAACUGAUAAUAUUUUAUAAUACUGUUUGGCUUUGUAUUCUUUGCAAUCUGGAGAAGUAUGGCCUCUCCAUGGGUCUUAUUUUGCUGCCAAAUGAGAAAGUGGAUAGAAUUUUGUUUCUCCUGUCUUUUAUGUGCUGUUCAAAACAGAGUUGGGCCUGAUUAACACAAGAUGCCCUUCUGUGGUGUUGUUUGGCCUGAGUAUUCUUUGGAGUCUUGGGAGGUUUGGCCUUUAAAAAUCAAACUGCCAUGGAAACUGCUUUACCCAAAAUUUUGGUUCACAGCUUUGUUUGGAUUACCUAUGGAGGCAAAGUUUAGCCACGUGAGCAUGUUCAUCAUCUGACAACCAUCUGCAAACCAGGAAACAAGUCCUCACCAGACACCUCCAGAUCUUCUGGCACCUUGGUCUUGGAAUUCCCAGCCUCCAGAACUGUAAGAAAUGAAUGUUUGCUGUUUAAGCAGGAGUAUAUUUUUUAUAGCAGCAAAAAAUUGACUAAGACAGGUACCAUCUAAAGAGAUCUCCCUCCCAUUUUUUAUGUCUCUAUCGGAGUUUAAAGAGACUGGUGUCCAUGAUUAAGGCAUCUGACCGAAAGAGAAUUUGAAUGCAAGAGCAAUAGACUGACAUUUGUUUUUAUUUGGUUCUGUUCCUAAUAAACAGAGUGACUGACCUUCAUUUUUGGUUUCUUCAAGAAUGAUGUCAUCAAGUGCCAGAUGGAACAAGGAAAGACAUUGCCCACAACAGAGAUUUUUAAAAGGCAGAAAAGCAAAGUGAUCACAUGUAUGUCCCAGUUUUGCUCCAUCCAAGAUGCCAGAAUACUGUUAGAUAAGUGUGGGUGAUGUGAAGGUUGAGGGCUUGGUUUCCUACUCAGUUUUAAGGACUCAAAGGAUAUGAUCUCAAAGCCACACCCUGUAUCAGCUUCAGGUGUGAGAUUACCACCACAAUGGUGCAUUGUUGAUAACAGCAGGAGACUUUGAGGCUUAGCAGUGCCCUGCCUCUUUUCAUUCCUCAGGUCUUAGACAAAGAGUUGUAGAUAUUUUGGCAAAUAGUAUUCCAAGUAAGUCUGCAAUGUUGGUAUGAAAUGGCUCUGUGCCUGCAACAGACCAUGUGAGCUGGGAGACAUAAGUCACAGCCAGGUUCCAGGACCCUAUAGCACCAGCAACAGCUGGUGUCUAGGAAAGUCACCUGGCUUUCAUUGUCAAAGAACAUAACCAGAUCAGAAUUACAGCAGCUACAGAAUCAGUCACAAGGAGCAACUGAGGUGGACCAGGGAUUGCUGGAGGAGAUGGGAAGACAGAGGUCCCUGAUUCUCUUGUUGCGAAGAGGAUGAAUAAACUUCCUCUACUUCCUACCUCCAUUUUCCAUUUAGAGGAGACAAGCAGGGCAGAGUGAGGCUAUGUAAGAAAGACACUAAGCAGUGGAAAAUUUAUUUUCUGUAUCAGACUGAACAAUGUCUUUUAGAAGUUUUUCAAUUACAAGAUUGAGCCACAUUUGAAACAUAGG